rnacentral:rRNA from 1 species
ACACAUGCAAGUCGAACGAGCGAGAGAGAGCUUGCUUUCUCGAGCGAGUGGCGAACGGGUGAGUAACGCGUGAGGAACCUGCCUCAAAGAGGGGGACAACAGUUGGAAACGACUGCUAAUACCGCAUAAGCCCACGGUGCCGCAUGGCACAGAGGGAAAAGGAGCAAUCCGCUUUGAGAUGGCCUCGCGUCCGAUUAGCUAGUUGGUGAGGUAAUGGCCCACCAAGGCGACGAUCGGUAGCCGGACUGAGAGGUUGAACGGCCACAUUGGGACUGAGACACGGCCCAGACUCCUACGGGAGGCAGCAGUGGGGAAUAUUGCACAAUGGGGGAAACCCUGAUGCAGCGACGCCGCGUGGAGGAAGAAGGUCUUCGGAUUGUAAACUCCUGUUGUUGGGGAAGAUAAUGACGGUACCCAACAAGGAAGUGACGGCUAACUACGUGCCAGCAGCCGCGGUAAAACGUAGGUCACAAGCGUUGUCCGGAAUUACUGGGUGUAAAGGGAGCGCAGGCGGGAAGACAAGUUGGAAGUGAAAUCUAUGGGCUCAACCCAUAAACUGCUUUCAAAACUGUUUUUCUUGAGUAGUGCAGAGGUAGGCGGAAUUCCCGGUGUAGCGGUGGAAUGCGUAGAUAUCGGGAGGAACACCAGUGGCGAAGGCGGCCUACUGGGCACCAACUGACGCUGAGGCUCGAAAGUGUGGGUAGCAAACAGGAUUAGAUACCCUGGUAGUCCACACCGUAAACGAUGAUUACUAGGUGUUGGAGGAUUGACCCCUUCAGAAAGGCAGUUAACACAAUAAGUAAUCCACCUGGGGAGUCC